UACGUAGGGUGCAAGCGUUGUCCGGAAUUAUUGGGCGUAAAGAGCUCGUAGGCGGCUCGUCGCGUCGGCUGUGAAAACCUGGGGCUCAACCCCGGGCCUGCAGCCGAUACGGGCGAGCUAGAAUUCGGUAGGGGAGACUGGAAUUCCUGGUGUAGCGGUGAAAUGCGCAGAUAUCAGGAGGAACACCGGUGGCGAAGGCGGGUCUCUGGCCCAUUACUGACGCUGAGGCACGAAAGCGUGGGGAGCAAACAGG
rnacentral:rRNA from 1 species